CAGAAGGGGCGCUGCGUCUGUGCCUCUUCGGCCUGCCGGGCGGGCCUCUGUUCGAGCUGCGGAGGGGGCUUGUGCGUGCAGUGAUGUUCCAUGGACCUAGGGCCAUCAACAACAUACCCUACAGGAGGAGAAGGGCACCAGCUGACCCAGGGUGGCGUACAACAAUGCAGCUCUCAACAUAAAAGCCGACACAGUAAUCAAAAAGUAAAAAAUAAUGCAUUCUAUGUUUAUGGAAUGAAAUCAGGCAAUGCCCAGCAGAAAGCAGCUGGCCCUCUUGCUCAGCACUUAACAGAGGAAGUGUUGAAAUUGCGCGGUGUAUACUAUCAACUGUGCUGAGACACCAGCACCCUGUGGCUCGUCUGAACUGUUCCCAUUCAACCCGGGCUUUAUAAGCACCCUAUAACUUAAAAAAAAAAAAAAAAGGUGUCUACAUCUGUUUGUGUUUCUCAUCCCUCCCCAUUUCUUCUUCCUCUUGUGUGAUUUCUUAGCUUGUAAAUGGACAGGCAGGCCCUAUCUUGUCAUUAGUCUUAUAUGAGCCACUUAGAACUGCUCUAGCUGAAGAGUUUGACCAAAGUGUUUAAGGUGAAUAAUGGUACUGGCUUUUAUAAAAUUAUACACAUGUACAACAUUUCUAUAAAAGGCAAGGAGCUUACAGCUGAACCAUGGCAUGGAGGAGAUAGGAGAAGGAAUGCAGGAUGAAGGUGGUGGGGGAUAGAGGAAAACAGCUGGGUAGGAAAAAAAAAAUGGAGUGGGAAACGGUGAAGGGAACAUGCGGCAAGGAACAAAAUAUAUGUACAUAAAUGAGGUUACAAUCCUGCAGCCAUCUACUUAGAAGCGUUCAAUCCUUGGAUUGCACUGUUCAUCUCAACUAGCAUACAUCUGCAUAUGAGAAAAACAUUUCCAUGUAUUAAUCAGGAAUACUUUUUUUAGUUGACUGAAAGGUUUUCAACUGAUUAAUAUCACCAAUUAAUCAACCAAACAUAGCAGUUGUAAUUUAAAUGUAAUUGCUUUAAGGAAAGAUAAUACACUCUCUCAUGGCUCUUUUA